UUAUAACCUAAUGUACAACGAUAAACAAAAACUACAGUUUUAAAAUCAAAGAUCUUGGCAGUGUCUUAUAUAAUCAGGGGAACCUGUUACUUAAUAUGAUAAUCCACAAAUAUCUUACUAUAUCUAGAAACUCUCAGUCUGUAUACUGCCGUAAAAGUUUAACUUAAAAACCUAAACAAUAAAUUAAUCCUCAUAAAUAUAAAACCUCAGGUCAAAGUACAACUAAUGAUAUAGAGUAAAAAAAUGGGUUACAUUUAUCUAACUAUAUAAAACUAACUUAUUACAUAAAUUAAAUAUAAAAGAACUUGAUAGUAAUAAAAUUUUUACUAUAAAUUUAUCAAUAAUUUAAUAAUACAUGCACAUAUCGCCCGUCACUCUCGUUGAAAAAUG
rnacentral:rRNA from 1 species